rnacentral:rRNA from 1 species
CUAGCCGUAAACGAUGUGAACUUGGCGUUGGCGGGUUUAAAUCCGUCAGUGCCGUAGCUAACGCGAUAAGUUCACCGCCUGGGGACUACGGCCGCAAGGUUAAAACUCAAAGGAAUUGAC